rnacentral:rRNA from 1 species
AGUGAGCGCUGGCGGUAGGCCUAACACAUGCAAGUCGAACGGCAGCACAGUAAGAGCUUGCUCUUACGGGUGGCGAGUGGCGGACGGGUGAGGAAUACAUCGGAAUCUACUUUUUCGUGGGGGAUAACGUAGGGAAACUUACGCUAAUACCGCAUACGACCUACGGGUGAAAGCAGGGGAUCUUCGGACCUUGCGCGAUUGAAUGAGCCGAUGUCGGAUUAGCUAGUUGGCGGGGUAAAGGCCCACCAAGGCGACGAUCCGUAGCUGGUCUGAGAGGAUGAUCAGCCACACUGGAACGUAGACACGGUCCAGACUCCUACGGGAGGCAGCAGUGGGGAAUAUUGGACAAUGGGCGCAAGCCUGAUCCAGCCAUACCGCGUGGGUGAAGAAGGCCUUCGGGUUGUAAAGCCCUUUUGUUGGGAAAGAAAAGCAGCAGGUUAAUACCCCGCUGUUCUGACGGUACCCAAAGAAUAAGCACCGGCUAACUUCGUG